GACAGAGGGUGCAAACGUUGCUCGGAAUUACUGGGCGUAAAGGGCGCGUAGGCGGCCUUCUAAGUCGAACGUGAAAUCCCCGGGCUCAACCCGGGAACUGCGUCCGAUACUGGAAGGCUUGAAUCCGGGAGAGGGAUGUGGAAUUCCAGGUGUAGCGGUGAAAUGCGUAGAUAUCUGGAGGAACACCGGUGGCGAAGGCGACAUCCUGGACCGGUAUUGACGCUGAGGCGCGAAAGCCAGGGGAGCAAACGGG
rnacentral:rRNA from 1 species